GUUGUUGGGUAGGGGAGCGUUCUGUAAGCCUGUGAAGGUGGCCUGUGAGGGUUGCUGGAGGUAUCAGAAGUGCGAAUGCUGACAUAAGUAACGAUAAAGCGGGUGAAAAGCCCGCUCGCCGGAAGACCAAGGGUUCCUGUCCAACGUUAAUCGGGGCAGGGUGAGUCGACCCCUAAGGCGAGGCCGAAAGGCGUAGUCGAUGGGAAACGGGUUAAUAUUCCCGUACUUGGUGUUACUGCGAAGGGGGGACGGAGAAGGCUAUGUUGGCCGGGCGACGGUUGUCCCGGUUUAAGCGUGUAGGUGUGUGUUCCAGGUAAAUCCGGUUCACUUUAACACUGAGGCGUGACGACGAGGCACUACGGUGCUGAAGCAACAAAUGCCCUGCUUCCAGGAAAAGCCUCUAAGCAUCAGGUAACAUCAAAUCGUACCCCAAACCGACACAGGUGGUCAGGUAGAGAAUACCAAGGCGCUUGAGAGAACUCGGGUGAAGGAACUAGGCAAAAUGGUGCCGUAACUUCGGGAGAAGGCACGCUGACACGUAGGUGAAGUGAUUUACUCAUGGAGCUGAAGUCAGUCGAAGAUACCAGCUGGCUGCAACUGUUUAUUAAAAACACAGCACUGUGCAAACACGAAAGUGGACGUAUACGGUGUGACGCCUGCCCGGUGCCGGAAGGUUAAUUGAUGGGGUCAGCGCAAGCGAAGCUCCUGAUCGAAGCCCCGGUAAACGGCGGCCGUAACUAUAACGGUCCUAAGGUAGCGAAAUUCCUUGUCGGGUAAGUUCCGACCUGCACGAAUGGCGUAAUGAUGGCCAGGCUGUCUCCACCCGAGACUCAGUGAAAUUGAACUCGCUGUGAAGAUGCAGUGUACCCGCGGCAAGACGGAAAGACCCCGUGAACCUUUACUAUAGCUUGACACUGAACAUUGAGCCUUGAUGUGUAGGAUAGGUGGGAGGCUUUGAAGUGUGGACGCCAGUCUGCAUGGAGCCGACCUUGAAAUACCACCCUUUAAUGUUUGAUGUUCUAACGUGGACCCGUUACCCGGGUUGCGGACAGUGUCUGGUGGGUAGUUUGACUGGGGCGGUCUCCUCCUAAAGAGUAACGGAGGAGCACGAAGGUUGGCUAAUCCUGGUCGGACAUCAGGAGGUUAGUGCAAUGGCAUAAGCCAGCUUGACUGCGAGCGUGACGGCGCGAGCAGGUGCGAAAGCAGGUCAUAGUGAUCCGGUGGUUCUGAAUGGAAGGGCCAUCGCUCAACGGAUAAAAGGUACUCCGGGGAUAACAGGCUGAUACCGCCCAAGAGUUCAUAUCGACGGCGGUGUUUGGCACCUCGAUGUCGGCUCAUCACAUCCUGGGGCUGAAGUAGGUCCCAAGGGUAUGGCUGUUCGCCAUUUAAAGUGGUACGCGAGCUGGGUUUAGAACGUCGUGAGACAGUUCGGUCCCUAUCUGCCGUGGGCGCUGGAGAACUGAGGGGGGCUGCUCCUAGUACGAGAGGACCGGAGUGGACGCAUCACUGGUGUUCGGGUUGUCAUGCCAAUGGCACUGCCCGGUAGCUAAAUGCGGAAGAGAUAAGUGCUGAAAGCAUCUAAGCACGAAACUUGCCCCGAGAUGAGUUCUCCCUGAGACUUAGAGUCUCCUGAAGGAACGUUGAAGACGACGACGUUGAUAGGCCGGGUGUGUAAGCGCAGCGAUGCGUUGAGCUAACCGGUACUAAUGAACCGUGAGGCUUAACCUUAC
rnacentral:rRNA from 1 species